rnacentral:rRNA from 1 species
UUACAAUGAGAGUUUGAUUCUAGCUCAGGAUGAACGCUGGCGGCGUGGAUACGGGCAUGCAAGUCGAACGAUCGUUUGUGCUUCACUAUGUUCAGCACAAACUUAAGUUAAAAAUUAAAAAUGAAAAUUUAAACUUUUAAUUUGAGCGAGUGAUGAGCGAUAGCGAAGCACGAGCGGUAGUGGCAAACGGGUUAGUAACGCGUAGGUAACUUACCCUGAAGUUUUGAAUAAUCCCGAGAAAUCGGGACUAAUACAAGAUAGUAAUGAGGGGACUUAUGUCAUUCUCAUUUAAAGACCCGCAAGGGUUGCUUCAGGAGAGGCCUGCGUCCUAUCAGCUAGUUGGUGAGGUAACGGCCCACCAAGGCGAUGACGGGUAGGGGGACUGAGAGGUCGGCCCCCAACAUCGGAACUGAGAAACUGUCCGGACUCCUACGGGAGGCUGCAGUCGAGAAUCUUCGACAAUGCGCGAAAGCGUGAUCGAGCGACGCCGCGUGAGUGAAGAAGCCCUUCGGGGUGUAAAACUCUUUUAUAGGGGAGCAAUGCGCUCCUCACUUACGUUCGGAGCUAAGUUAAAAAUGGAAAAUGAAAAGUUAAAAAUUAAGGUGCCCCGCUUCGCGGGAUGAUUAUAUAUAAAUCAUUGCGUAGCGAUACAAUGAUUUCACACUUUUAACUUUAAAAUUUUAAUUUGAGCGACGAGCGAAAGCGAGGAGCGUAAUGAGCGUACCCUAAGAAUAAGGGGUUCCUAAACUCGUGCCAGCAGGAGCGGUAAGACGAGUACCCCAAGCGUUAUCCGGAAUUACUGGGCGUAAAGCGUCUGUAGGGGGUUUUGAUAGUCUUGUGUUAAAUGUUGGGGCUCAACUCCAACGCCGCGCAAGAAACGUCAAAACUAGAGAGUGCGAGAGGCUGAUGGAACCUACGGUGUAGGGGUGAAAUCCGUUGAUAUCGUAGGGAACACCAAAAGCGAAGGCAUUCAGCUAGCGCUACUCUGACCCUGAGAGACGAAAGCGUGGGGAGCAAAAAGGAUUAGAUACCCUUGUAGUCCACGCCCUAAACUAUGCAAACUAGCCAUUUGAAGUAUCGACCCUUCAGGUGGCGAAGCUAACGCGUUAAGUUUGCCGCCUGGGAAGUACGGCCGCAAGGCUAAAACUCAAAGAAAUAGACGGGGACUUGCACAAGCGGUGGAGCAUGUGGUUCAAUUCGACGACAAGCGAGGAACCUUACCAGGUCUAGACAUCCAUCUGAAGUCUGCUGGAAACAGCCGAUGUCUCACAAGGACAGAUGGGUCAGGUAUUGCACGGUUGUCGUCAGCUCGUGGCGUGAGCUGUUCUCUUAAGUGAGGAAACGAGCGCAACCCUUAUGCUGCGUUACAAGUGUCGCAGCAGACUGCCUCAGACAAUGGGGAGGAAGGCGGGGAUGACGUCAAAUCAGCGUGAUCCUUUGAUGACCUGGGCUACACACGUGCUACAAUGGCCGGUACAAAGGGAAGCGAAAUGGUAACAUGGAGCUAAUCCCAUCAAAGCCGGUCCCAGUUCGGAUUGAGGUCUGCAACCCGACCUCAUGAAGCCGGAAUCGCUAGUAAUCGCGCAUCAGCCAUGGCGCGGUGAAUACGUUCUCAAGUCUUGUACUCACCGCCCGUCACGUCAAGGAAGCCGGGAAUACCGGAAGCGCCAAUUUAUUGGUUUCAAGGUAGGCUCGGUGACAGGGACGAAGUCGUAACAAGGCAUCCGUAGCGGAAGCUGUGGAUGGAUCACCUCCUUUCU